rnacentral:rRNA from 1 species
CACGUAGGGUGCGAGCGUUGUCCGGAAUUAUUGGGCGUAAAGAGCUCGUAGGCGGUGUGUCGCGUCGGCCGUGAAAACCUGCAGCUUAACUGUGGGCUUGCGGUCGAUACGGGCAUCACUGGAGUUCGGCAGGGGAGACUGGAAUUCCUGGUGUAGCGGUGAAAUGCGCAGAUAUCAGGAGGAACACCGGUGGCGAAGGCGGGUCUCUGGGCAGUAACUGACGCUGGAG